CUCCGUCUGAAAAAAAAAAGAAAAGAAAAGAAAAAAAAUUGUCAGGGUAGGCUCCAUUGAGUAGGUGGCAUUUGAGAAAAAAUUCAAGAGAUGUAAAGGAUCAGCCACCAGCAAAGAGCACUCCAGGCUGGGGGAGUCACCAGGGCAAAGGCCCUAGGGAUUAUCUGGUGUCAGCAGAGUCGUGAGGAGGCCAGCGUGGCUAGAAUGGAGUCAAGGGGAAAGCCAUGGAAAUCAGAGAGAUCAUCUCAGCCUCUCCUGAACUGUGACCAACUGGCUUACUCAAGGGACUGGAUCUGCUGUCCCGACAUGAUGGCAAGCUGCAGCACAUCAUGCAGAUUAAAGUUCAGCCUGCCUCAGACUCAGGAUAAAAACACAUUUGGGACAGUCUCGCUCAGCCUCAUUGCAGAGACAAGAAAUGUAUGAAAAGAAAGUACAGAGAAAAAAAAAGAAUGGAAUACACAUGAAUGCCGAACCACAUUGGAUAUGUAGCUGUUCAUGAAGAUAUUCCAGGGAAGGCCUAUCUAGUAGAGCCUCAAAUCUAUUUGAAUACAAAUGGCACUCAUUAAGGACAUCUGUCUUCUGUAAUGUCUACACAAAGUCUUACCGGGGUCUUCUUGGCUCUUAUUGACGGCUGAUGAAGGAGGGGUUUAUAAAGAAAACAAGCCAAAACCUGAAUAACUUGCUACUGAGAGCAGCACACAUAUUUUCCCAAAGUGCAAAGUUGAGAAGAAGUACAAAGCUUUGUUAAUAUUCUGAACAGUACUGCUUAGUAUGAUCUAAUUGAUGGAUUUUCCAUGGACUCCCUAGAGACUGAAAAAGGUUUGACUGUCAGGAAACUUUUCUUGUGUUUAUUCUUCAAUUUUCCUUUUCCUACUUUCCAAUCAUCAUUCCCUAUUAACAUCCCUUGAUGGGUCACCUUAAGUGAUUAUUCUUUUUAAUGGCAUUUAUAACGUUUAAUAUUUCCCUGUUAAUUUCUAUUCCGACAAAGUACAUAUUUUUUUAAUCUUCACUCAUAACAUUAAUAAAUUUUUCCAACAUUUUAAAGCUCAGUUAACAUUUCCUUAUAUAUGCCUCUGUCUUUAAAAUAUGAGAUCUGAAUGUACUGGUAUCACUAGAAUUAUCUACAGAGUUCUAAUGUGAUGGAAAUUGUGCUACAAAAAUUUGUUCUUACAUAAUUUGCUUCAACGGAAUUCCUCCUGAACUAAAUACUUAGUCUUUACAUUCUUUAAAAUAACUAAAAUUUCCCAGAGGAAAGUCUGAAUUGUUCAUUUAACCUUGUGUGAUGUGUGCUGUGUGUAGCUGAAACAGCAAAGUGGACACACCUGCACCCUUAACAUUUUUGACUUUUUUUUUUUUUUUUUUAAAGAAUCAAGUUUCGUUUUUGUCACCCAAGCUGGAGUGCAGUGGUACAAUCUCCGGUCACUGCAACCUCCGCCUCCCGGGUUCAAGCGACUCUCCUGCCUCAGCCUCCCAAGUGGCUGGGAUUACAUGUGUGCACCACAAAGCCUGGGUAUUUUUUUUUUUUCAUUUUUAGUAGAGACGUGGUUUCACUAUGUUGGGCAGGCUGGUCUUGAACUCCUGAACUCAGGUGAUCCUUCCCCGCUAGGCCUCCCAAAGUGCUGGAAUUUCAGGCCUGAGCCACAGCACCUGGCCAACUGUGACUCAUUUUUAAAGCGGUUUGGCAAUAAUGCUAUAUACGUAUAAUGGUUUUGAAUAAAAUAUACAACUAUACAUGGCCUGUUAUCUUCUUAUUUUAGACAGAAUAAUCUUAGUCUUGUACUUUCAUGUAUUAGGCUGAUAGCCAUGAGAUUUGGGGAGGAAAAAAAUAGGAUAAAAUAGGACUCACUCAUUUCAAGAAAUAGAGUUAGUUUUCUAUGCAAGCAUUUUCUCCCCUUCUCCUUAGCCCACCAAAGUGGUAAAUGAGACUUCCAGCCAUGAGGCUGUUUGCACCUCUGUCUGGGAGGAGACUUCUGGAGCUUUGGUUGCUGCUAAUGACUUGGAGGGGCUUUGAAGGCCCCCUUGAAGAUGUCACGCAUGACCUCUGGACCCUUGGUAUCUUUCAAGAAUCCUUAUGAGAUACUAACUCAUUUCGUUUAUAAUAGGUGAAAACAGAUCAUGUAUUUUUAAACCAGAUAAUGCCUAAGUUAUAUUACUCUAGAAUUCAUAGAAAAAAUAAAAUAGCCGAGAUCUUUAAAAAGACUGUAAUGUGGUAUUAGUGGACUGUCUUUUUUUUUGUUUAUGGAGAGAAAAAAAUUAUUUGUAAGUUUUUUUUU
rnacentral:lncRNA from 1 species